rnacentral:tRNA from 1 species
AUUAAUUAAUUUAAAAGGUUUUAAAAUUAAUUUGUAAAAUUAUAGUUCAAUUUCUU